UGACUGCAUUGUGCCCGGCUGCUGCUGCUGUGCCCAGCCAUUCCGCAGGCUCCAUCAUCUCCUUGAUAUCCCUUGAUAUUGGAAGGGACUGGGGGAGAAAAGGCCGUGCUUCAUGUGUGAGUUUGCAGAAUGCCAUGAGCAAGGGUGACCACUGCUCAGAGAGGCCUGAAGUGUUCUAUGAUGUUUUGAAUCCCAUGAAACCACACCAGAGGGGAUAAAUUUUUUGACUGUGUUGAUUUUCUGUGUGGUUCACUCUAGACUUCCUACAACAGACAGCUUAUUAUCUCGCCUUGUGAAAAUCAUACUUGACUUCUGGGAGACGUCUAUCAAAAGGAAAGAAUAGACUGAGAAGCUGGUACUUUCGAUCUAAUUAUCUAGGUUGGUGGUUGUUCAGUGAACCUAUUAACUGCUUGAAGUGACUUGCAUCUUUACAGGUACGCAUAGUCAUUCUCUGCACUAUUUAAAUGGGAAACGCUACAGCUGUUAUGUGUCCCAGUUUAUUUUCUCUUCAGUUGGUUCCCAAAUGCAUCUGGCUUCACUCAUGAUGAACAGUAGAGCCCAUCUUGCACCUUCUUAACUAAUGACUGCAGAUGAGUGUUCCCAGCUCCCCUUAUCUCUUAUCCUUGACUAACCACCUCAGUUUAUGCCUUUCAGUGAAGCACUCAAGCACACUCUUAGCUUUAAGUACAUAAUUUCAUUGAGUAGGGAUAGAUUUAAUUACAUACUUGUAGUCUGUGGCUUGUCAGCACUUCAAGUUUCCUAACCAAUUGCCGGACAAGUUAAAAGUUAGCAACCAGCCCUGACAGUUCUGCACCUUGGUGAAUGGUGAGCUUCUCUGGUAGUGACAGACAACACUGUUCAAGCCUUUCACAAUGCUCCAGAGUAGAGAUGCAUAGGGUCUUGGGCCCAACUGCUCUCUGGGAAUGAUUCUAAAAACCUAAUUGUGACCUAGGAAAAAAGGGACAGGGAAAUAUUUCUCAACUUUCUCUGGUGGCGGCAGCAUACUGUGCUGGGGCAAGACACCAUCAGCACUGCAGGAAGCCAAGCCUUUGUGCCCUGGCUGUAAAAUCUAGCUUCUACAGCUCAGAUGUAGAGGAGUCUGUGCUCUACCCCUUUCAAAUCCAACACCACCAACACAGUCAGCCCACACAAAUCUGUUCUCUGCUGUGUCUUCUCCCAAGAUCAGUUCACCCUUAAGUCUCAAGAGUAUGUAUGUAUAAGGACAGCUCAGGAAAUGGAGAGGGAGGAAAAUCAUCAUUCAUGGUGUUCAGCUUCUGACUGAAGUCUAACUUAAUGAAGUUUGAGCAUUUUGUCCAUAUUGGGAUUAAGAGCUAAUAAAUAAUUCAUCACAAACGUAAGAGAAAAAUAAAUAGGCCAUGUUCAUAUGAAUGGCAGAAAACAUCUUCGGGGGUGGUGCCAAAAUGAAAUGGAAUUCACACCAGUGGCAACGCAGAUAAGUUUAGAAGAUGUGCAUGAGGAUGGAAGUGUUGUAGGGUAGGUAGCCUGUCAUCUAUGUCAGCCUUGGUAGGUCUAAGCAGCAUGGUUCUGUGGAGGAGCUCCGUGGCUGUGCUGUCUUGUGCUGGCAGCCGCAGACAAACUGCAGUUAUGACCUCAUGUCAUCCUGGUUAGAAAAAGCGUGACCAGCAUGAGUAGCUUCAUCUGAGGCCUACACCAGGCUUCACUGUUGAUAAGUUGCAUAGGUAAUGAAGUUGUGGAUGAGAGAUGCAAUCAGCCACCCUGGAAACCAUCUUUCUGAAUGUGGUUGAUAUCUUGUGGCACUGCUUUGGAUAGCCAUGUUGUGCAAAAUCCUGGCUCUUUAAAGAUCCAGCUGACUAACGGACUAAAAAAACCCACAUCAUAUGUCAGUCUGGGUACGUUCUUGCUGAGAAUGAAUACAAAGACCUAUUCAUCACUCCCAGUGCUCUCCUAACAGACAGAUUAAAUCACUCUCUGGCUGUGAAGAUGACAGUGGCCCACUACCUACGGCUGUGUAACAGUUUCCAUUAGAAGGCCUUGUUUCUGAUUGUUUAUGAUUUUGCCAGGCUUCAGCUCCUUGAGCUGAGAUUUCCCCUGCGAUAUGUCACCACAAACUGAAUUUCUGUGUGUGGAAGGGCCGAAAUGAAUAUUCAUGAAAUUUCCAAGCUGAUGUAUCAGUGAAAAGUCACUCAGACACAAUUUUUUAGAGAUUAACUGUACAUUUGCCUUUUCUUGAGUGAUCAGGAGAAACAUCUGGAGCUAUGUGCUCCCCAGUGGUCAGUGCUCAACCUGAAGCUGGAAUAGCAGCUAAACAGCCUGGUGCAAGAGGUUUCAUAUCCAGGUCUCUCAACUUGGUAGAUAUUCUUGACAGUUUUAAUUUUUUCACAAAUGACCAACCUUCUGAGGCUGUACUUUGGUGUCCUAAUAUAUUUAAUCCAAUAUUGAAACUCGUGAUGUGUUGACAGAAGUUGCUUCUAGCAGACUGAGAUUACACUAACAGGGAGUAGAAUUUGGGAGGGUGACAUCUACUCUUUUAUGAUUGAGCACAUCCUGGGUUUGGGUAUGUAUGACUGCUUAUAGCGCUCUUUAUCUUAUCCUUUACCUUCUCUUGUCCAUCUGUUGUAUUCCUGACCAACAUUCCUUGUCAAGUGGUAUCAGGAUGGACUGUCAGAUCUCUGUGCUGAUCUGAGUACCAGUCUGAAGUUGCUAGCUCAUGAGAUGAAUGAGCUGCAUGGCGUUUAGGAAGAAUUUUAUCUGGUUCAGGGAAGCUGUUUUUCUCCUGCACUUUCAACCAAUACUGGCGAUGCCAGCAAGAAGAGUUUUCAGGCUAGACUGAUUCGCCUCCGGAUUAGGUUCUUAUACUGGGAAGCUUUUUGGUGACCAGCAACCAGUGGCAUGGUUGUGGGUCAGUAGUUGCAUCAGAUUCAGUGGGCAGAUAAUAAUUUUGAGGGUGAUGUGCAGUUUCUGGGAGCAGUAUCUGCAGAUGGAGCUCAACUGCACUCUGGAGGAAAUGUGCUCUCUGAUCUGCAGCUGGUAUACGCCUAUCUCUUUCCCUAAACUGUUUUUAUUAGAUGGAGCUUUACAAGCCCCCAGAAAGGACCUUUAACUUCCACAGGAAUCUGAGAAGGCUUGUGUUAAACUCCUUAGAGGAGUUCUCCCUUAGCCAUUGCACAAGCUAGAGAAUUUCCAGAUCUCAGCAAAAACUGUGUGAGUGCUGUGUUCAGACUGUGUAGAGCUUGCUCUUGCAUACCUAAAUCACCGUUAAACUAGCUACUCUGAGUCCAAUUAGUAACAUUGUCCCAGGAACAAAGUGUUCAGCAUGGCCUGCUAAAAGGAUAAGUUGCUUACCUUACUCCGUGUUUAUAUUCAGUUUUGCUGUUGUGCUGUGUUCUGUAAUGCUAUUGGUAUGGUGUUAGCAGUAUCUUAGCUGACUAAUUUAAAGGUAGUUGGGUACCUCAGUAACAUGUUGCAAUUUUAAUAAGGCCUGUGGUAGAGACACAUCUGCAGUCAGAACUUGUCAUCAUUCUGAACUGCCAACAUGGUGUAAUAAGUCUUUGUAGAAAUCCUGAAGCCAGACCAUAGGAAAUGAAUCUGGAUCCUAUAAACAUUUCAGUGGGAGGAAGCAAAAAUAUUUGCAUGACCUGCCAGGACUUUUAAUCUCAUAUGUAGGACGUCACAUGGGGGAAGUGGUCUUUUCCCUUGUUGAUAAUAAAAGCACUUUAUAUUUUUGCUGCAAUGAAAAGAUCAUGUAUUAUAUAGAUCACAGUGAACAGUAUUCAGUAAACUGCAGAUGUCCUUAAGUUUCCAUUAUAAACUUGAUUUUAUUCCUAUUCCUGUCUCUGCCAAAAUUAGCCUUAUACACCUACAACUUCACAGGCAUAAUCUUAUUCUGGGACAGAUUUUUUGGAAGAGUUGAAGGAAACUGGUCAAGGUGUUUAAGAGAUAUGACAGCUAAAAAAUGAGAUCAUCUGCUUGGAGAUUUUCCUAAAGACUUUCUGACUUGUCGUAUACUGAAAAUUCAUUUGCCUGGAGUUUCGAAAAAAUAUUUUAAAUCUGUUGGUCUUGGCCAGAAAUGGUGCCUUUGAGUAGUUUUAGGCUGUCUGGUGACAGAAUUAUUUGGUUACUGAAAGUGGUUUCCGCCUCGGUGUACGUAUACGUGUUAUGUGUUCUUUGGAGAUCUUAACUUCACUAGUCAGUGCCAACAUGUUCUUAAAUUUACAAUGGCAAAUGUGAGGUGUCUAACAACUCCGCAUGCAUCCUAAAUGUACACAUUCCUUUUCUUGGACCAGUCUUAAAUGCAUGCCCUGCUGCCUAAAAUCCUCACCAGUGCAUUUCCUGACUCCCACUCCAAUCCAUGCUGAGGCUGACAGCGUGGUUUUACAGUCACUUCUGCAAAGUCCCUGAAGACAUCUCCCAAAGGGACUGGCAUUCAAAUCUGAUUUCUAUUCAUCUCAGUUCUCUUUCCUGGAACAAAACAUCAUACCUGCCAUGAUUUGUGGCAAUAUGUCAGUCUCCAAUGGCUGUGAGCCAUGGAUGAUGACACUUAAGUCAAUAUUUUUGUGUUUGUGGCUUCUUUCUGUUUUAUGACAAAAUAAAUUCUGGAGCAUAUUAUGUGUUUCUUAAAGAGGAUUUAUUUCAAAAUACAUGCUUUUACUUUCUCGAAAUUGGGUAAUUUUUAAAUGUGGUUCUUGAAGUGUGACCAAAGCCAGAAGUAAACUGAACCAUUAGAUGGUUUUGAAAGCUUCCCCUUAGAUAAGAAGCAUGUGAUAUCUAGAAACAGUAUAGUUGUGCUACACCACUGCAUUAAUGUGGUUCUCUGGGAUCACUGCUGCAUCAUGCACUUAGCUUACACUGAAGGUCAUGGCUUAGCAAUGUCAACAGUAAAGUCUGCCCAGUACAUACCACUGACUGUGGGACAUAGCCCAUGUUCCAUAAGACCUUGUUUGCAGUUAGUAGUGUUGCCUGACUUUAACAUUUAAGACUUGAUCUUUCUGACUUUAGUGGUUUUUUUGUUGUUGAAGUCAAGUCCCUGAGCCACAAAUUGCUGAAACCUGUGAAUGUAUUUGUGAGAAGUAUGACCAUAUGCUUUCUCUAUUCUUUAUUAUUCCAUCUGUUCUUGGACACUACUGAGACAAGCUGUUGGGCUAAGUGAGCUUUUGCUUUAACUCGGUGUGGAUGUUCUUGCACUAUAGUCUCCAUCUCAGCAAAAAUAGUUGACUGUUUGCUAAAAGCAGGGCUAGGAGUUCACUUUGUCAUUAAAA